GAUGAACGCUGGCGGCGUGCUUAACACAUGCAAGUCGAACGGGAAACAUUUUAUUGAAGCUUCGGCAGAUUUAGCUUGUUUCUAGUGGCGGACGGGUGAGUAACGCGUGAGAAACCUGCCUUUCAGUGGGGGACAACAGUUGGAAACGACUGCUAAUACCGCAUAAGCGCACAGCUUCGCAUGAAGCAGUGUGAAAAACUGAGGUGGUACGAGAUGGGCCCGCGUUGGAUUAGGUAGUUGGUGGGGUAACGGCCUACCAAGCCGACGAUCCAUAGCCGACCUGAGAGGGUGACCGGCCACAUUGGGACUGAGACACGGCCCAA
rnacentral:rRNA from 1 species